rnacentral:rRNA from 1 species
GGGUAGGGGAGCUUCCCAUACGGGUUGAAGCAUGACCGUAAGGACAUGUGGACAGUAUGGGAGUGAGAAUGUUGGCAUGAGUAGCGAGAUGUGGGUGAGAAUCCCACAGGCCGUAAACCCAAGGUUUCCAGGGGAAGGUUCGUCCGCCCUGGGUUAGUCGGGACCUAAGCUGCGGCCGAAAGGCGUAGGUGAUGGACAACAGGUUGAUAUUCCUGUACUACCGAUAACCGUUUGAGAGAAGGGAUGACACAGUAGGAUAAGCUAAGCACACUGUUGGUUAUGUGUGCCCAAGCAUUGAGGCAGUCAAAGUAGGCAAAUACGCUUUGAUAAUGCUGGGAUGUGAUGGGGAGCGAAAUUUAGUAGCGAAGUAGCUGAUUUCACACUGUCAAGAAAAGUCUCUAUCGAGGUUAAAGGUACCCGUACCGCAAACCGACACAGGUGGGUGAGGAGAGUAUCCUAAGGCCAGCGAGAGAACUGUUGUUAAGGAACUCGGCAAAAUGACCCCGUAACUUAGGGAUAAGGGGUGCCACCAUCAGGUGGCCGCAGAGAAUAGGCCCAAGCGACUGUUUACCAAAAACAUAGGUUUCUGCUAAGUCGCAAGACGAUGUAUAGGAGCUGACGCCUGCCCGGUGCUGGAAGGUUAAGGGGAUCUGUUAGAGCAAUCGAAGCAGUGAACUUAAGCC